AGCGCAGGCGGUUUCUUAAGUCUGAUGUGAAAGCCCGCGGCUCAACGGGGGAGGGUCAUUGGAUACUGGGAGACUUGAGUGCAGAAGAGGAGAGUGGAAUUCCAUGUGUAGCGGUGAAAUGCGUAGAUAUAUGGAGGACCACCAGUGGCGAAGGCGGCUCUCUGGUCUGUAACUGACGCUGAGGCUCGCAAGCGUGGGGAGCACACAGGAUUAGAUACCCUGGUAGUCCACGCCGUAAACGA
rnacentral:rRNA from 1 species